rnacentral:misc_RNA from 1 species
GACAAGUAUGACAGAAUAAUGACAAGAUAAGCAGUUCAUUUUGUGAUUUUGUGUUUCAUUUUCAUUCACAGGAUUCAAGUUUGAAGUAGUUUUUGUGUUUGUGUUUGUGUAAAGUGUAAUUUUUUAUAAAUCCAACAACGUUAAAUGCUUCUAACUUUUAACUCUCCCUCUAAUGAAUAACAAUGGAUACAGGACAUCCACUCCUUGUCAACAACUCGGAUCAUGCUAGCAUAGAAAUAAAUCAGAGCCCGUUUACAUUAGGAAGGGGUCUUAAUUGCAACUGCCUGAUUACCAGUCCACUCGUAUCUCGGGAGCAUUGCAGCUUGGAGAAGACUGCAAAUGGUUGGUGUGUGAGAGACAAGAGUACUAACGGCACAUAUGUUAACCAAACUUCAAUAAAAGGUGUUCUAAGCGACCCAUUAAAAUCAGGUGACGUGAUACAACUAAGUUGUCAUCAUAAAUACACCUUUCAAAAUGGUCCUAACGAUGAUAGCAUUAGCGAUGAACAAUUGUGCAGAAUAGCAGAUACAGUGUUAGAAACUAUCGAAGUAGCUGCCGACACUUCACUAUCAGCUCCACCUCCUGAACCUUAUCCUGUUACGCUACAACUUGAUGUGUAUCCAGAUUCUUCUGUACCCCGUCCUAUUAGACACCCGGUUAGUGAUACUUUUCAACCGUCAAAACGAUUAAAAACGAUCAAUUUAAUCCCCUCCACUUCUGUUUCAACUAAUGUUAUUGAUUUAACAGUAGAUAAUUUUAUUGAAAUCGAAAACCGCCGUGAUCCAUCUACUAGUACCAAUGUUAACGGCGAAUCUCUCGAGACCAUUACACUGGACGAUAGUAGUAUCCAGGUAAUAUCCACAACGGUCCCUUCCGCCACUGAGAUGGUGACGGUAGAAACAGUUUGUUCAGUGGAGGUGCAAUCUUCGAAAAUUAAUAAUAGUCAAACGGCGUGUACUAGUGAUACAAAUAUGGGGCAGAUAGAGUCCCAUAAACCCGAGAGCGACAGUAACAUGAUGUCCGAAUCUCAGAUGGAGAAUGAACUACAGUGUGCCAUUUGCGCCGAAAUGUUCGUCAAGGCAUCGACACUCAAUUGUUCGCACACGUUUUGCAAAUUUUGUAUAGACAAGUGGAAGGAAAAACAGACGAUUUGUCCGAUCUGCAGAACCAAAAUCACCUCUCAAGUACCAACCCUAGUCUUAGAUAAUUUUAUAGAAAAGAUAAUACAAGGUUCUGCACAAGAUAUACAGGACCAUAGAAGAGAAUUGCUAAACGAAAGGGCGCAGAUGCAGAAGCACCAGCAAAAUCUGUUAGAACAACAACAACAACCACGUUCAGAUACGAGACGACAAGGGAGAGGCAGGCGAGGUAGCAUUCGAUCCCGAGCCGGUCGUUAUGGAUGGGGAUGAUUCGUCUUCUAGCAGCGACACAACGUCCACUGAGUCCGACAGUGGACAAGAAGACGCCGAAUUUGAGGAUAACUACUGGAACGACGACUGGUAUAACAACGCUUAUUACGGUGGAUAUGGAAGGUGUUUUACUUGUGGUAGAAGAGGCCACUGGGCAAAUGGCUGUCCUUUCAGAUAAUCCCGCUUCCGGAAUAGGAACCAUUGAGAUUUCACUUGUUUGUUCCAGUAAAAAUAUUUGUUUUUUUAUUAUACAUUGUUUAAUUUUUAAUUGUAAAUAUUUUUAUACAAAAUAAUCACCAGAUGAAAAAAAUAUAUUGAUAAAUUCUCCUACUACCUCUCCUACUGCGACUUUCCAUUAUUUUAGCGCUUCUAGAAAUCGUACCUUUUGG